rnacentral:rRNA from 1 species
AACGAACGCUGGCGGCAUGCCUAACACAUGCAAGUCGAACGAAAACUUCGGGUCUUGUGGCGCACGGGUGCGUAACGCGUGGUAAGUUGCACUUAGGUUCGGAAUAACUCACCGUAAGGUGUGCUAAUAACGGUGAAUGUCUUCGGACCAAAGAUUUAUUGCCGUUGGAUGGGGCCGGGUUGGAUUAGCUAGUUGGUAGUGUAAAAGCGGACCAAGGACACGUUCCUUAGCUGGUGGGAUAGGAUGACCAGCCAGGAUUGGAAUGAGACACGGCCCAGAACCCUACGGAAGGCAGCAGUGGGGAAUACUGGACAAGGGACGAAAGCCUGACACAGCCAUGCCGCGGAAGUGAUGAAGGCCUUAGGGUAGUAAAGCUCUUUUACCCGGGAUGAUAAUGACAGUACCGGGAGAAUAAGCUCCGGCUAACUCCGUG